GGGGGGGUCAUUCAAUUCUAUCAAUUUGACAGCUGCACCUAAGUUGAUGAUUGAUGAGACGGAUGCAGAUGGAUUCAGAACUUACAGAGAAGUUGUGAUCCUCGAAAUGAACUUGGCUUAGAGGCACUGCAACUGCAUGCGGCGAUCGGAUGACAAGUUGCGAUGGUCCCCGGAUCCGCGGAGCAUUUCACAUUUCUCCGGGGGACAACGGACAACGGGGGGCGCUAGGGUUACCUCACCGCUUUUCUCCUGCGCGCUGCGCGCUGGCCCCGCCACCGCUGCAUACAGGUCCUUCGCGCCGCGCUCUUGCACUUCACUUCAAGUUCGCCCAGCUCCGACUCACGGUCAAGGUUACGCCGCGCGCGCUCCCGCUCAGCUCCCGCGUGCAACCAGACGCUCAACUUCCGGAAUUUCCACCAAUUUUCCGGAAUAAAAGGAUUCUAUCUCCCACACGGAAGCACUCCGGAGUUUCAAAAAUUUGUCCGCUAUUUGAAUCCGAGUUCUCCGUCCAAAGCUGAAUAAGAAACUUAGAUUCUCGAAGCUGGAUUCCAGACGAAAAGGAUAAUUUUUUAAUUACCAAAAAAAAUCAGAUAUUGACGUUAGUGUCUUAGUUCGAAGUUCCUUGAAAAUUUUCACCAAAAAAUUUUAAUGUCGAAUAAUUUCUCAAGGACGCACCGCGGAGUUUAGGAAAUUCAAAAUCCUCAGUCGGAGAAAAAUCGCGAUAUCGAGUUCCCGAUUUCAGCCCCAAUGGUGGUUCGCUUUCAGCUUUGAUUCGGUGGCUGUUUUACUACGUGAUUUGUGUGUAUAGUGGUGUUUCAGUGGGGAAUUUAAAGCUGUGUUGAGUUUGACUGGUGGCGAUAUUUGGAAGGUCAAAUGAUGGAUUUCGUGGGGAUACUGGCUGUGAUAUGUACAAUUAGUGUGACCCUUGCAAUGGGCUUUACCGGAGGCGAUGACAGGUUCAUGAAAAAAUACGCUAUGAUGAAAGUGUAUGAAAGCUGUUUCGGAGCGGAGGUAGUGAAGGAGGUGCGGAAAGAGAUGAAAUUGGCGACGGCCAAGUGCAACGGCAUGAUGCCAACCACGUCUUCCAUCUACUCCUAUCAACCAUCAAACAAGCAUCAAACGCAAGCGCAAAUUGCCGCUGCACUUCACUCCAGCUCUCCGCUGAGGUUGGGCUCUUCGAAGCCUUCAAAUUCUGAUUUCUACACGCAAGCGACAGCGUACAACGUGGCUCAACAACGACCGGUGUCCGCGUCACCAUCCAACAGUGAAUCCAGCGUGCAACAUCUCCUCCAGCAGGCGUCCAACUCCCUCACCGGAAACGGGAAUGAUCCGCUCAAAUCUGGCGGGAUCGACCUCAACAAAUUGCAGCAGGUCAUCCUAUCCGGCAUCAACAAGCAGUCACAGCAACAGCAACAACAACAACAACAGCAGCAGCAUGUGCAACAACCAUUGUUUAACUCGGCCUUGCUCCAACGGCCCUCCUACCAGACAGCAGCGGCGUCCCAACUGCGGCCGUACGUGCAACAGCCUUUACAACAGCCGUUGCAACAGCCCCUGCAACAGCCUCUGCAACAAUUUUCUCAAUAUCAGCAGCCGUUGCAGAACCCCAACCUUUUAUAUCAGAACCCUGCACCUCUGACCAACGACCUGUUCCAGGCGCAGCAGCAAUCACUCUUCGGACCUCAGCAACCUUUGCAGCAGUACAACAACCCAUUCCUUUACCAGAGUCCUUUCUACAACCCAUACUUUUCCGCCAGAGCAUCGCGCGACUUGGAUGUUAAAGGACAACUCGAGACGCUGACGGCUAAAUUGACCGGAAAAGUAAAGAAUGUUACUUGUGUUAUGCAAGAAUUAGGAUACUUAGAUGCAAAUUUGGAGCCAGAUUAUGUAAAAAUGGUAGAGAGGAUAAACCGACUGCCAAUAUCGGAAGAGCUGAAAAGGGACAUGGCUGAAGGCGUCGAAUACUGCCGGCAGUUUUCGCAAUGCGUGCCAGACUCGAGGAAAGACAAGCUAGCGAAAGAAAUGCUCCGACCCAUGUUCUUCUUCCGAUGUUAUAAGCAUAAAAAACUUGAGGCGUGUAUCAUGAAAGAUAUAAGAGAAAGGUAUUCCAACGGGAACGAAGAUUUCCUGGACGAGAACGUGCUGGGAGGCGGUGGUGACAUGCGCUCUAUGAAAAGCAGAAACCAGACUUUGGACGACGAACACAUGGAAGUAGCCAUUUAUGAGUUCCUUUACGGGGGUGACACUGCCCAGCUCGACUCACUUCUUUAG
rnacentral:lncRNA from 1 species